CGCUGGCGGCGUGCUUAACACAUGCAAGUCGAGCGAGAAGCUAUUUAUUGAACUUUCGGGUGAUUUAGAUAGUGGAAAGCGGCGGACGGGUGAGUAACGCGUGGGUAACCUGCCCUAUGCAGGGGGAUAACACAUUGAAAAGUGUGCUAAUACCGCAUAAGACUACAGAGUCGCAUGACUUGGUAGUAAAAACUCCGGUAGCAUAGGAUGGACCCGCGUCUGAUUAGCUAGUAGGUAAGGUAAUGGCUUACCUAGGCGACGAUCAGUAGCCGACCUGAGAGGGUGAUCGGCCACAUUGGGACUGAGACACGGCCCAAACUCCUACGGGAGGCAGCAGUGGGGAAUAUUGCACAAUGGGGGAAACCCUGAUGCAGCGACGCCGCGUGAAGGAAGAAGGUUUUCGGAUCGUAAACUUCUAUCAGCAGGGAAGAUAGUGACAGUACCUGACUAAGAAGCCCCGGCUAACUACGUGCCAGCAGCCGCGGUAAUACGUAGGGGGCAAGCGUUAUCCGGAUUUACUGGGUGUAAAGGGUGCGUAGGCGGCUUGGUAAGUCAGAUGUGAAAGCCCGAGGCUCAACUUCGGGACUGCAU
rnacentral:rRNA from 1 species